rnacentral:lncRNA from 1 species
UGCAACAAUGACACCGUCCUUGGAGUCCCUAAAAUCUACUCUAAAGAAGAGGUUGGGAUUAUCCAAUGGCAAGGCCUUGUCAUUGAAGAAGAAAUAGAGGGUGGCUGCUCCUCUACCCACACUGACAUCGAUCGUGAAAGUGGGGACCUCCAGCACUGAGCCACUGGAGAUCAACGAUGAGCUAGAGGUCAUCACCAUUGUGCCCUUG